rnacentral:rRNA from 1 species
CCCUUAGAUGUCCUGGGCUGCACGCGCGCUACACUGAUGCGUCCAAUAAGCACCUAACCUAAUCCGAAGGGACCGGGUAACCUUAGCAAAGCGCAUCGUGAUGGGGAUAGAUUAUUGCAAUUAUUAGUCUUGAACGAGGAAUUCCUAGUAAGCGCAAGUCAUCAGCUUGUGUUGAUUACGUCCCUGCCCUUUGUACACACCGCCCGUCGCUCCUACCGAUUGAGCGAUCCGGUGAAUACUUCGGACUGCAACCGGUGCGGUUUCCGUACCCUUUGCAAAAAGUUGAAUAAACCUUAUCACUUAGAGGAAGGAGAAGUCGUAACA